rnacentral:ncRNA from 1 species
CCAGCUUGUUCUUUUCCAGGCCCGUUGCUGCGUGAGCAGCAAACGAGAAUCGGGUGAAUUGCCGGAACCCCCGGAGACGGGCAACCGGCAGCCAAGGCCGACACGGCGGGGCACUGCUGUCCGUGUCCUAAGGGGUCGGCAAGGUUCAGAGACUAGGGUCCGAGCGAAAGCGGUAAUGACCCCACGAGCGCCCGACGUCUUCCCGGCAGUGAGGAAGACGAUGAGAUAGUCCGGUCUACCGAGAUGAUCGGCGG